ACAAGAAUGGGUACCUUCAUGAGGCACCUGCUUUCUUUAGUGUCUCUCUUUUUCCCAAAACAGCUUUCAACAACAAUUUCAGUAACACUCCUUUACUGAAAGCUCAGGCUGGCAGUGGAAAAUCCAGGCACCUGCAAAUGUUUUUCUGCUUUGUUUUGUUUUCCUAUUGGCCGCACUGGAAAAGCGGAGGAGAACUUGUGUCAGUUCCAUGACCCUGCAGGACUGAAAGGUAAUGUGCUUUCCCAGGAGUACUGGGGGACACUUUGGUCCCUGAAACGUGAAAAGGACAACUUCUCAGCCUCUGCUAUGACGUACUGCCUUUUAGGGGUCACUUCAACAACGAUGAUCCCUGAACAAUUGACCCUUGCCAGGGAGACUCUUCAGACUAUUCCCUUCAGGGAUUGUUUGCCAGCAGAGAUCAAGCAAAGAGAAUGAUGGAGGACUAUUUUCGUGGCUCUGAUGCUACUUGCACCAGGACCUCUGCACACAACCAUUAAAUAAAGCCAGCAGCGUUUCGAGACAAUAAGAAGAAGAACUGUAGGAAUCGGAGCAGCCCAGAGCACGGAACUGCAGCUGGCAUGGAGCAACAGCGGCUCCAUCAAGAUCCACCUUCUCCAAGGUCACCUCGACCACGGAGCUCCUUGCAGGCCCGUGUCUGAUGACGGCGAGCGCGGCCGCACGGUGUGCGCUCCGCCGCUCUCCGCCCCCUUUCCCGGCGGCGCUGCCCGGGGCGCUCGGCUCGGCUCGGCUCGGCUCGGCUCGGCUCGGCUCGGGUGGGCGCUGCUCGGGCGCGGUGAGGCUCUCGCCGCCCCGCGGGGAUGCGCGCAGCGGCGCGGGGGCGGGAUCGCGCCUCGCUCCCCCCAGCGCUGCAGCCUCGGCCCGGCCCCGCCGCCCGCCUCCCUCCGGCCCCGCUGUCAGAGCCGGCAGCCCGCGUGGCAGCGGGGCGCGCCGGGGCGAGCGGCGUCUCUGCGGUGGCUGCUGGAGCACCGGCGAACGGCAGCUGCGUCCCACGCAGCGUCUGUCCGUCCGUCCAUCCAUCUAUCUAUCCAUCUAUCUAUCCAUCCAUCCAUCCCUGCGUGGGCGGCGGCUGGUGUGUGUGUGUGACUGACAGGGAGGCGCGCACGGCGCGGGGGCAGCCGCUCGCACUCUGCCCGCCGGGCCCCGGCUGCGGCAGCCGCUCCUCCGUCCCCCGGAGCCCUCCCCGGUGGGGCAACCUCAGCGGCCUCGCUGCUCGUCCUCCUCCUCCCUCCUGGCGGGGUAAGUCUUCCAGAUGCAGGAGGGAAUACUUUGUCACAUGUUUGUAAAGCAGCCAGGUCUCUACAGUCUCUGGGCAGAUUCUGGCACUGUACUCAUAAGGAACACUCACGGUGACACAGAACACAGCACUUUGUAACUACAGGAACAGACUCGACUGUGAAAGAUCUCUAUCAGGCAUCACAGAGAAUUUGGGGCAGCUGGCAGUUAUCAGCUGAAGCAGUUAGUCAGUAGAACUGCACAAGAUAAAUAGAUAAUUGAAAAGCAAUCUGGAAGCCUGGGAGGGAUAAUAAGCUUCUCUUCUAGAAAGGAGGUAACCGCUCAGGUAGGUCACUGAGGAACUGAACUCCCAGAUCAGUGCUUUGCCUAAUAACACUGAAAAUACAGCAGCAGUCCAUGCCUGUCAGCUCUGAAGGAAUAUUCAAGUUGUUCUUGGAAAGGCAGUUUGGCAUAUUCAGUCAUACAAAUCAUUGUUGCAAUAGAGUGAAAGGUUGUACUGCUGAUAGACAGGUGGCCAAAAUCCCGGGAACAAUAUGGCCCUUUGUUAAGUUACAGUUGCCAAAAUAGAAAAGUAGUUACACACCCUUUUUACCCUCUGUGCUACUUUGUUUAUACUGCCAUGCAACCCGUAGUAUUCCUGCCACACUGACCACGUUUGUCUGUGGGAAAGUGAUUUCUUUUCUUGUAUAAUUUAUAAUAAAAUAAUGGAACUAUUUUUGUUUUAUUUACCAUGAACACAGAGAACAGAGGGAAAAGACCAAUGUCUAUGAGUAAAAGAAUGUGUUGAUCUUAGUAGCUGCACUUUAAAAGAGCCCUAAAGAAUCUUUCUGUUUAAGUCACUCUUAUGAUUGUCAAAUUUCUGACUACAGAAAGUGUGAAAUCUUGCAUGAAGGUGCAAGGAAACUGAAAACAUUUGGUAACUCUUCUUGCUAGGUUCUGAUCUCUUGUAGAACUAUACUGUUUGUAGGAAAAGAGCAUGAGAUAUUUUUGUGAGAGUGAGCAUAGAAAAAAGGGUUUGGGCCUUUUUCAAAAAAGUAAGUGGUAUCUUUCCACCACAGAAUUGAUCCACUGAUUAUUUUGUUAAGCCACUCAGGUGGAUCACAUGAAAUAACUGAUGCCUAAUAAUUCUAGUGCAGCUGAACAAAGCAAACAAACCCCCAACCAACCAACCAAACCCCAAAACAAAACAACAAAACCCCAAGACUUUUGUUGCUCAGUCUACUUUGAAAAAUGCUUUUAAAAAUCUCUCCAAAAAUUCUGUCUAAAAAAUUCUGUGCAUUUAUAGUGAAAGAACAUAGAGCAAAACACAUGCACCAAUUUUUUUUACUGUAUUAGUUGCUAAAAUUAAAGUGGCAGUUACUGUAGUAGUAUUACAGUAGCUAGAAAAGCAACAUAUUAAAUUCACAAAAUCCAUUAAUAAAAUUUGCAUAUGUUCAUGUUGCUCGUUGCAGAAACAAUGUGAUUUAUUUGAAGUCUGUAAAUCUUAUAAAGUAACUGCUGUUUUUAUUUUUUAGGUGUUGUUUUAAUAUCUGUUUUAACAUGGUGCUGGACAUUAAUUAAUUGUGCACAUAUGUAAAUUAUGCUUCUGUGUAUUGACUGUUGAGCAUGUUUUCCUUUAUAUCUCAUUCUAUGACUGCUAAAACAAGAAAAAAAAAGGCAAAGUUUAAAGCUUACAAAUGCAUGGAAAGUUUUAAAUUACCAUGUGAUGUUUUGAGGCCUGAUUCAUCUUUCCAUUAUAAUCCUAAUAAUAGAUUUUUAUCAGUCUAGAGCCAUUUUUUAUAUCACUUUCUCAGUUUAGAUGCAACCGUACAAUUGCAAAUUACCGUUGUGUUGUAAAAUAUGCCUAACUUCAUUAGAUUAUAAAAUCUCUCACUUUUUUUGUGACUUUCUUAUUCUUUAACAAUUAGGCCUCAUGGAGCUUCUGCUGGUACCCCAGGAUCACACUGUUUUGUUUUGCUUAUUCCACAAAAUUAGUAAUAAUAAUUUCUUUUUUCCCAUUUGCAUUUUAUUGUCAGUCAUAGUCUCAUCAGUAAUGUCUUUGGAUGUGCAAGUCUGAUACAGUAUUGGUAUUCAAAUAUCUAUUUCUUGUGAAAUAGCUUGGAUUCUGCAAUAAUUUUUUGUGGUGUGGGGUGAGACUUAGGUGUGGAUUGAGACAUUUUAGGUGUCUAUAUGGAACGGCUCAGGUGUAAACUAUAUGUGUAAACUCCUGUUCUAGACAACAAAGUCAAAGCAAUCUGUGGACCCUUCUCAGUGCCUUGUCCAAUGAACUGCUUUGCAUAUAUUUCAGAGGGAACCGAGUUCUUCUCUAAGCUCCAUCUGAACACAGACAAAAGUUAUGGCAUCAUGUGAAAUGUACUGUCAGUUUAUGUCUUGCAGUUCUCUACAGGAUAAAAUUCCCAGGAAAUGGAAAAAUACAUUUAAAAAUAUAGUUUAAUCACUAAGUUCCUGAGAAAAAUAGUGAAAAGAACUUUCUUGACUUUCUCCUAAAGACAAACCAGGAUUCAGUAAAAUUGUUGGACCUUCGCUUGUCAUUUGCUGUGAUUCGUGCACGUUGUACAACAGUACUCAAAGCUAUUGGCCAGGUAAAGCAAUCUUGGAUAUCUUCUCGUGCCUUUGUUCUGGAAAUGUGUAUCAAUGUACAUCUUGGAUCUCUCAGGCUUAUUCAAUGCAUUUAGGAUAUUAACAGGAUUGUUUGAGUUGGUAACCUGAAAUAAUCUGACACUGCAUUUAUUGAUGCAGAAGGUUAUUCUGAAUUUUGUGUCCAAAUGUCUUGCUUGCUUAGUUUACCAUUCCAUGUGAAUAAAAUACUUUGCUUUAAACAUAAACUUUCGUUUCCUUUGUAGUGAUUCUGUCUACUGUGGAAAGUCAUUCAUCCCUUGUCCUAAAGAUUUUUGCUUCUCAUAGCACUAAUACCACAGAGUUUUUUAGAGCAUUGGGUUAAUCUAAAGAUCUGCAGCUGAAAUACUAAGGAGCAGAUUGGAAUCCAAGCAUAAGAUAAGAUCAGAAAGCAAUAGCAAAGGACACGGUCCAAGUUAUGGUCAAACUAAGGUUACACAUUGUGGCUACUGCCCCAGCUCCAGAGACAGAGCCCAGACAGCUGCAGAGCAGUGGCAGCCAGCCAGCAUGCCUGAAUAGAUGAAGAUGAGGCCAAAAGGAGGAGGACUUAAAUCCCAGAUUUUAGCUGCUCUAAUAUAGAAUGAUCAAGCUAUAUAAGAACCUUACAUACCCAGAAAAGAGCUAAAACAGCUAGUUUGAAACAAAGUCCUUGAAGUUUCUUGUGCAACUUUUCAAAUAGGAAUUAUCAUAGCCAAAGCAUUUUAAAAUAUUAGUUUUUAAGAUGUAUUUAUUUAUGAUGUACCUAGUAUAAAAAAAAUUUUUUUAUACUAGGUACAUCAUAAAAAAAAUCUUUGCCCUCAAAUAAAUUAGAUACCCAGUAACUUUUUUUUUUUUU